GUGCUGCAAGGACCAGCUCUGGAAGUUACAGCAAUGGCAGCUAGGUCGUUGCUUCCGGCCGUUCUCCUCCUGGGCCUCCUCUUAAGCCGCGCCGGCUCCAGCCCUCCGCCGGAGCCGGUGGUUUGCGCCCGUGGCAUGUCCGACUGCACCGUCACCAACGUGUAUGGCUCUUUCCCGGACCGCACCAUCUGCCCCGCGGCCAACGCCACGUUCCCGCGCACCGAGGAGGAGCUCGUGGCCGCCGUGGCGGCUGCCGCGGCGAUGAAGCGCAAGGUGAAGGUGGCCACCAGGCACUCCCACAGCUUCCCCAAGCUAGCCUGCCCUGGCGGCCGCGAAGGCACGAUCAUCAGCACGGAGCGGCUCAACCGGACGGUGAGCGUCGACACUGCCAAGGGGCUGAUGACCGUCGAGAGCGGCAUGGUGCUCCGGGACCUGAUCCACGCCGCCGCAGCCGCCGGUCUCGCGCUGCCGCACUCGCCGUACUGGUACGGCCUCACCAUCGGGGGGCUGCUGGCGACGGGCGCGCACGGGAGCUCGCUGUGGGGAAAGGGCAGCGCCGUGCACGAGUACGUGGUCGGGAUGAGGAUCGUGACGCCGGCGCCAGCGAGCCAGGGAUUCGCUGUGGUCAGGGAGCUCGGCUCCAAGCACCCUGACCUCGACGCGACCAAGGUCUCCCUCGGCGUUCUUGGCGUCGUCUCCCAGGUUACUCUGCAGUUGCAGCCGAUGUUCAAGCGCUCGGUCACGUUCGUGGAGCGCGACGACUCAGACUUCGCGGCGCAGGUGGCUGUGUGGGGCGAUCGGCACGAGUUUGGCGACAUGACGUGGCUGCCGUGGCAGGCCAAGGUCAUCUACCGCGAGGACGGACGCGUUGAUGUCUCAUCGCCUGGCAAUGGCUUCAACAACUACCUCGGCUUCCGCUCUAACCCGACGCUCGGGCUCAUCAUUGCCAGAGCCGCGGAGGAGCGCCUAGAGGAGGACGGCGACGACAUCACACGGUGCCUGGCGGCGCUGGUGCCCGCAGCGACGUUCAAGCUGCAGGGGUACGGCUUCACGAACGACGGCUCCUUCUUCACCGGAUACCCGGUGGUCGGGUACCAGCACCGCAUCCAGGCGUCUGGCACAUGCAUUGACGGCAAGGAGGACGGGCUCCUUUCCUCGUGCCCGUGGGACCCACGCAUCCGGAGCUUCUUCUUCUACAACUCUGGCUUCAGUGUUGCGCUCUCCAAAGCUCCGGCAUUGGUUGCCGACAUGCGGCGACUCCGUGACCUCAGCCCGCGUGCCUUAUGUGGUUUGGACGCCAAGAUGGGUCUGCUCGUCCGCUAUGUCAGGGCCUCAUCUGCCUACCUCGGCAAGGUGGAGGACUCGGUCGACUUCGACAUCACCUACUACCGGAGCUACACCGAAGGCACGCUGCGAGCGCAUUCUGAUGUAAUCGACGAGCUCGAACAACUAGCUUUGCGAAAGUACAACGCCGUCCCACACUGGGGCAAGAACCGCAACUUUGCCUUCGACGGUGCCAUCACCAAGUACGCAAAGACCGGCGAGUUCCUCAAGGUGAAGGAGAGGUAUGACCCUGACGGGAUCUUCUCUAGCGAGUGGAGCGACCAGGUGCUUGGCAUCAAGGGGAGCCCAAACAUUGUCCAGAAGGGUUGCGCCAUGGAAGGGUACUGCAUCUGCUCUGACGAGUCGCACUGCGCGCCAGAACAGGGCUAUUUCUGUCGGCCGGGAAAGGUGUAUGCAGAGGCGAGGAUUUGCUCGCUCCAACCUGCCUCUGGACACACGCACACCAAUCACCAGGAUGAACUGUGA
rnacentral:rRNA from 1 species